UACGAAGGGGGCUAGCGUUGCUCGGAAUCACUGGGCGUAAAGGGUGCGUAGGCGGGUCUUUUAAGUCAGGGGUGAAAUCCUGGAGCUCAACUCCAGAACUGCCUUUGAUACUGAGGAUCUUGAGUUCGGGAGAGGUGAGUGGAACUGCGAGUGUAGAGGUGAAAUUCGUAGAUAUUCGCAAGAACACCAGUGGCGAAGGCGGCUCACUGGCCCGAUACUGACGCUGAGGCACGAAAGCGUGGGGGAGCAAACAGG
rnacentral:rRNA from 1 species